rnacentral:lncRNA from 1 species
UAUAUAAUAUAAAAUAUUUUUUUGGCUGAGUUAUUAUAUUUAUUUGUUUCCUUGAUGUAACAUUUUUUGUUUCCUUGAUGUGUUUAGAAGGAAUCAAUGCAAUUUGGAGAAAUGGAAUGGUUCACAAAUGAGAGUCUUUUUGGUGAAGAAUUUACUCAAGAAGCUAUGGCUGCAGCUGAAGUUCCUCAAGUUCCUCAACUUUCAGUAACUCAUGCUAGCAACAAUUUUUCAUCACAAAGAACCUCAAAGUCUCACAUGUCUAACAAAAAGCCUAGAAUUGAACUCAAACAAGAUGAUUAUUAUGAUGAUGAAGAUGAGUACUUCACUGUGCCUGAUCUUGGC